CUUGGUGACGAUAGCGGAGAGGUCACACCUGUUCCCAUGCCGAACACAGUAGUUAAGCUCUCCAGCGCCCAUGGUAGUUGGGGCUCGCGCCCCCCCUGCGAGAGUAGGACGUUGCCAAGC
rnacentral:rRNA from 2 species